CUGAUAUCGUGGACUUGUUACUAACUUACUGUUCUCAUUUAAUAGAUGGAAAAAUUAGUGCACCAAGUCGUUAAGCAAUGGCUUUGUGUGGUAGCAGAGCAGCAGUAUUUUGUGGACUGAUACCCUGUGCAGACCACCCUUUGAGUAGCGCAUGUUAGAGCUCAGACUUGGAGUCCUUACUCUGGAAUCAAGUCAACAGAGCCUCUGUCAUCUGGAAUGUGGUCAGUUCCAAUGGCAGGAAGAAAAAGUAUGGUGGUGACACAACUAAAUACUUCCUCCAAAUGCAACAGAUGUCAGCUCUGCCCACCUUCUGUUGGCCAAAACAAGCCCUAUGGCUGGCCCUGAUCAACUUCCAGGAGAGGAGGUACAAUUCCGCCAUGUUCCUGGACCAAGGAGAAGAAAUAGAGAACAGCAUUUUCAGAUAACAGGAAGGAGAGGAGAAAUAGCAAGGAGGGCAAGUGACCCUACGGGCCUGGGGCCUGUGAGGCUUGACCUGAGCCUGGAAGCAGCAGGCAGAGUUUUAUGCAGAUCAGGGCCUGCGAAGGAAGACUCCCUUCACUGCUGCUGAGACUGUGAGCUCCGGGAAGACCGUGACCAUGUCUCCUUGCCUGUGUCCUCAGAGCUCAGCACAGGGACCCGACUGAGUAGAACUGCCAUGAAUCCAGUCCUCUGCUCUCUUUUUUUUUUUGCCUGCUGCUUCCUUUCUCACUUUUUUUUUUUAUUAGCGACCCUGCAUUCAUACCAAUGAACUUUCUGUAUCACCACUUCUCCUUCUUUAAAAAAAGAAACACCACCAUCACCAACAUACUUAUUGGCAGUGGACUUUGGACUCUCAGUUGACUCAGUAAUAAAAGUAGAGAAUGCCCCCUGACUUCCUGAGCUUGGAGUAUAGACUCAGGGAGGUGGUUAUGAACUGAAUUGUGAACCCCCUCCCAUCCAAAAUUCAUAUGCUGAAGAUCUAACCCCCAACAUGACUGUAUUCAAAGUCAGGGCCUAGAAGGAGAUAAUUAAGUUAAAACAAGGUUGUAUGGUGAGGCCUUAACCCACUAGGACUGGUGUCUUUACAAAAAGAGAGACAACAGAGGUCUCUUUCUGUGCACAGAGGAAAAGCCUUGUGAGGACACAGCAAGCCAGGAAGAGAAGCCUCACAGGAAACCAGAUUUUCUGGCAUCUUAGUCUUGGACUUCUGGCUGCCAAAACUGUCAAAAAAUUGGUUUCUGUUGCUUAAGCCACCCAGGCUGUGGCUUUUGUUAUGGAAACCAUAGCAGACUAAUACAGAGGCAACUCACAGGAAGGGCUUUCCUGCAGAACCUGACACAAGGACGAGCGUCAGUCCGUGCAGCUCUUGGCAGUAUUAUGGCCUCCAGUGAGAAUACCUGCCUUCCUAGAAGAGAAAGAAAAUCUGGAAAUCCUGCAACCAAACAGUCUGAAAAUCCACUUGAAGCUUCUGAGGAGAAAUUGAGGACGUCAGAAAGAAGGCACUGAAAUUUUCCAAUCCUGUUUCUGUGUGGAAGGCAUAAUAACUUGUGUCAAACAGUAUGACUGCAUCUUUCCUCUGAGGAGCUUAAUGUGCUUAUGGCAACUACUUAUCCACCAGGCAAAUGUCCGCAUCCUGAGGAUGAGCUAAGGGAAUGUCUGGGAUGGCCUGGUGCCGGAGACGGGGACCAGGCACCGAGGGGCGCUAAUAAAAUAAGGUAAUUGUGUCUGCUCCGCCCUCUCUGUAGUUUAGGCUGGGCCGUCAGGAAGCAGGCCAGGCUGGCCGGGGUUAGGAAUUUUGGAGUUAAGUUUACAAUCCAAGACAGAUUUUACUUCAAGUAGGUCUUAACUAAUAAUGGCCUUUUCAAAAUACAGCUCACUGACUCGCGGGCACAUCAGGGAGGGAGACCUCCCCAAACUCCAUUCUUUCACUGAAACUCUGAUUCUGUCUUCUGAAUGUUGUUUGCAUUCCUUGGGGAUACCCCUGUCAGGCCCCUCCAGGCGGGCUUCUGGGCCUCAGACCUCCUAGGAGCAGAUGGGGGCGGGGGAAGAGGCCUCCCAAGCAAUCGCAGUUCUUUUUGUUUUCAUUUUCAAUCCACAUUAACGCCCUGGAGAUGGUACUGAAAUCUGCUGGGGAAAGCAGAACCAUCUGGGAUCAUUGGUCAGAGCUGUAAAUGGUGUAGAAAGAGGGGGAAAAUGUGGCUUCUGAUAAAUGGGAAGGAGGUAACAUUGGCUUAAUUGAAAGCAGUUGAAAUGAUUCUUCUGUCUGUUUUUCCCCCUCAAGUUUCUCUUCAAAUCAGUGUUGUCCAACUGUCCUCAGAGACUAUAUAAGGCGCGACUGAAACUUCUAUUGUCCUUUACUGGUACUGCCUCUCCGUCAACCCUGGCUUCACAGGGAAUGAUGUUGUUGCCUAGACGAUUUCUUGCCAUUUAUUCCUUCAUCACAGAUGAAUGAAGUGCUAAAAUGUGGAUCAUUAAACUCACUG